AAUCUACUGUUAAUAAACUGGAGAAAUGCAGCUAAAAUGUGUGACUAAUAUGAUAUAUGAUAUGACUUGCAGGAAGAAGAUUUGACAACCAUUCAUGGUCACCGUGACAGCCCUUUAAAUUCUUCAGGAAAUGGACCAGAGCUCUUCUGACUCUACAGUGAUCCUUGAACUAAGUUCCGUCCCUGAAAAGGACAUAAGUGUUCCUGAACUCAAGAGAGCAGAAAGUGUAUUUGUUCAUCAACAAUGGCGAGAA